ACCCUUGACCACGGUAUAGUCAGCGACUGGGGUGAAGUCGUAACAAGGUAGCCGUAGGGGAACCUGCGGCUGGAUUACCUCCUUUCUAAGGAUGAGUGAAAGUAAAAUUUCACUCUAAAUAAUAUACAUCGGUAAUGUUGACCGUCCUCAUUUCUCUUCUUAAAGUAAUGUUUCCUUCUUGUAGGGCCGGUAGCUCAGUUGGUUAGAGCACACCCUUGAUAAGGGUGGGGUCGAAAGUUCGAGUCUUUCUCGGCCCACCAAUAACCUAAAUGGGGGAUUAGCUCAUCUGGGAGAGCGCCUGAUUUGCAUUCAGGAGGUAGCAGGUUCGAUCCCUGUAUCCUCCACCAGGAAACAUUUAGUUAUUAAAACUGUAAAUAAAAAUAAUUUAUAUCAAUAUCUAUAUCCGAACAUUAAAAGUUAUUAUUUAAUGUUCAAAAUAAAAAUUUGAUCACAACAUAGAUAAAUUUUCUGUUAAAAGAAUUUUUUUCUGUGCAUAAAUCAAGCGUUUAAGGGCGUGUAGUGGAUGCCUUGGCACUGAAAGCCGAUGAAGGACGUGAUAUACUGCGAUAAGUUUCGGGGAGCUGUAUGUAAGCUUUGAUCCGAAAAUUU
rnacentral:misc_RNA from 1 species